rnacentral:RNase_P_RNA from 1 species
GAGAGGGAGAGAGCGGCUUACGGUGGAAUGUUUCCACUGAGGAAAGUCCCCCCACCCCCGGACACGCAGCCGUAUGCAAAUACGGGUGGCGAGAGUCACGGCUCUGACACAGAAACGACACGGCCCGCUGACAGCCAUGAAUACGACUGAGCCAUGAAUCAUAGUUGGUUCUGGCAAGAAGCAGAAAUCUGCGAGAUAACUCGUUGAGCACAGCGGCGGGAAUCGAUGAAACGGUGAACCCCUGCGGGUGCAAGCCAGAAUAGGGCGAAAGGGAGGUCCGGAACCAGCCCGGGUAUGGCGCGAAGCUGAAUGCCGCUUGGAACAGAAGGGGGCUUACUCCUCCCACUC